rnacentral:rRNA from 1 species
UGGGGAAUAUUGCACAAUGGGGGAAACCCUGAUGCAGCGACGCCGCGUGAGCGAAGAAGUAUUUCGGUAUGUAAAGCUCUAUCAGCAGGGAAGAAAAUGACGGUACCUGACUAAGAAGCCCCGGCUAAAUACGUGCC